ensembl:snoRNA
GAGCUGCCUCUGAGCCCCUGCCGCACCUGCGCAUGGCGCCCAGGGUUAAACUGCAGCACCAGAUCGAUUUGUGCAGAACUGGAGUGGUGCACCCCUACUUGAGGAUUUUGCAAGCAAUCCCCAUCUGUGAGCAAAAAGG